rnacentral:rRNA from 10 species
GCUUACGGCCAUACCACCUUAGGCACGCCUGAUCUCGUCUGAUCUCGGAAGCUAAGCAUGGUCGGGCCUGGUUAGUACUUGGAGUGGGUGACCGCCGUGGGAAUACCAGGUGCUGUAAGCA